rnacentral:rRNA from 1 species
UACAGAGGGGGCAAGCGUUGUUCGGAAUUACUGGGCGUAAAGGGCGCGUAGGCGGCCUGUUAAGUCGAACGUGAAAUCCCCGGGCUCAACCCGGGAACUGCGUCCGAUACUGGCAGGCUUGAAUCCGGGAGAGGGAUGCGGAAUUCCAGGUGUAGCGGUGAAAUUCGUAGAUAUCAGGAGGAACACCAGUGGCGAAGGCGGCUUUCUGGACGGUAACUGACGCUGAGACGCGAAAGCGUGGGGAGCAAACAGG